AGGACGAACGCUGGCGGCGUGCUUAACACAUGCAAGUGGAGCGACGAACCGGGGCUUGCCCCGGGGCAGAGCCGCGAACGGGUGAGUAACACGUGGGUUACCUGCCCCAAUGACCGGGACAACCCGAGGAAACUCGGGCUAAUACCGGAUGUGGUCUUCGGACGAAAGGAAGCUUCGGCCUCCGCAUUGGGAUGGGCCCGCGGCGCAUUAGCUUGUUGGUGGGGUAACGGCCUACCAAGGCGACGAUGCGUAGCUGGUCUGAGAGGACGAUCAGCCACACUGGGACUGAGACACGGCCCAGACUCCUACGGGAGGCAGCAGUGGGGAAUCUUGCGCAAUGGGCGAAAGCCUGACGCAGCGACGCCGCGUGGGGGAAGAAGGCCUUCGGGUUGUAAACCUCUUUCAGCAGGGACGAAGCCACUCGGGUUAAUAGCCCAGAGGGUGACGGUACCUGCAGAAGACGCCCCGGCUAACUACGUGCCAGCAGCCGC
rnacentral:rRNA from 1 species